UACGGGGGGGGCAAGCGUUGUUUGGAAUUACUGGGCGUAAAGGGUUUGUAGGUGGCUUGCUAAGUCAGACGUGAAAUCCCUCAGCUUAACUGGGGAACUGCGUCUGAGACUGGUGAGCUUGAGUGCAGGAGAGGAACGCGGAAUUCCAGGUGUAGCGGUGAAAUGCGUAGAUAUCUGGAGGAACACCGGUGGCGAAGGCGGCGUUCUGGACUGCAACUGACACUGAGGAACGAAAGCCAGGGGAGCAAACGGG
rnacentral:rRNA from 1 species